CAGUAGCCGCGGGAAUACGGAGGGGGCUAGCGUUGUUCGGAAUUACUGGGCGUAAAGCGCACGUAGGCGGCUUGGUAAGUUAGAGGUGAAAGCCCGGAGCUCAACUCCGGAAUUGCCUUUAAGACUGCCGAGCUAGCAGGUGAGAGAGGUAAGUGGAAUUCCGAGUGUAGAGGUGAAAUUCGUAGAUAUUCGGAAGAACACCAGUGGCGAAGGCGGCUCACUGGACUGGUAUUGACGCUGAGGUGCGAAAGCGUGGGGAGCAAACAGGAUUAGAGACCCCUGUAGUCCCUGUCUCUUAUAC
rnacentral:rRNA from 1 species